rnacentral:rRNA from 1 species
CGCACGGGUGAGUAACACGUGAGUGACCUGCCUUUUAGACUGGAACAACUUACCGAAAGGUGAGCUAAUGCCGGAUGAGUUAUAUAAGUGCAUGUUUAUAUAGGAAAAGUUGGGGAGACCUGACGCUGAAAGAUGGACUCGCGUCCCAUUAGCUGGUUGGUAGGGUAAUGGCCUACCAAGGCGACGAUGGGUAGCCGGCCUGAGAGGGUGGCCGGCCACACUGGGACUGAGACACGGCCCAGACUCCUACGGGAGGCAGCAG